UCUGUGUGGCCUGUGUUCUAGAAUCUUCCUUCCAUGGAUCCGAACACAGCCCAGCCACAUCCUUCCCUGAGUCAGUCUUUGACUAAGAAACACAGCCUGUUCAUCUCUUCUCUGACGCCUUCCAUAUUGCCUUUGUAGAAAGCCGCUUUUCCUACAGCGAAGGCCAUGCGGCUGCUCAGCCACAUUUGGGAGGAGUAUCACGAAUUUCCUGGAUGCUGGUGCCAGAUACCUGAAAAGAACCACGACCUGGAUUUGCAUACAGAGCAUGGGCUGUGAUAAAUGCAAGCAUUGAGUUGAUACUCUAAGCAGGAUGCAGAGUAACCUGUCACCCCAGAAACUUCCUCGAAUCUUUUUGUACUUAUCCACAAAUACCUUGCUUUCUGCAAGGAACCUGCUAUUUUGAUGUCAAAGGUCGUUUUGCCUGCUCUUGAACCUCAUAUAAAUAGAAGCAAUAUAGACUUUGACAACUGAUCCUUCUGUGAAACAAAUGUUAGCGUGCCGAUGCCUGCAUUAGUGGUCUGUUCGUUUUUACUGCUUAAUUGUGCUCCAUACUCUAAAUGCACUGCACUGUACAGAUUCACUCUGGCACGGCCGACUUCUGGGGCGUUUCCAGUUUAAAGCUGACAUGAAGAGCCUUUUGCAAAUCCUUCGUGGUUAAGUUUUAUUUCUCUUGGGUAGGAGUAGAAUUACGAGAUCAAAGCAGCGAUGCAUGUGUAAGGUACAAGGAGCUGCCAAUGGUUUUCCAAAGAAGUUUCAUUUUACAUUUCUGUCAGCAGUCUGGGAGAACCCUGGCUGCUCGCUGCUCUCGGUCUUCCGCUCAGGUGUCCUGGGAGCCAUGAAAUCCCACCUCACUGUGGGCCGAAGUUUCCCUGAUGAUGUGAAGCUUUUUGCCAUGUGAUUAUUGACUAUCUGCAUAGCUUCUUUUGAGGAGUAUCUUCUCAAAGCCUUCCCCAUAUCAGUAUGGAAAUACCUUAUAAAUGGGUAGCCUGUAGGCAUGUCUAUACAGAGACAUAAAUUCCUUAGUCACUUUGUGGCUAUGUUCUCUAGUGUGUGGUGUGCCUUUUCAUUUUCUAAACAGCAGUUUAGAAAUUUUUACUUUGGUGAAAUCCCCUUUAUCAACCUUUUUCUUUUACUUGCCUGCCUGUUUGAAUGGUUUUGAAGCAUAAACUUCCAAAAGCCCACCUAAAAGUACUUCCAAUUAAAAAUUUAUUUUCAACAAAA